AUGUAUUGUAAAGAAUGAUGAAAAUGACAAUGUUUAAAGUUAAAGUAAUGUGGGGAGUAAAUAACGUGAAGUGCUAGAGGUAGCCAAAAGUAAAGAAUGUAAAGAAUAUAAUUGCUAGAGUUAGCAAAAGUAAAAGAAACGUAAAGAAUGUGAUUGCAUGAGUUUGCAACAUAAAGUGAUGUAAAGAACACUAGAGCUAGUGUAAAGUCAAGAUUGAACUUAUA
rnacentral:lncRNA from 1 species